GUGCGUAACAUUGGUUAUUUUAUAUAUCUAUAAGGCAUUGUGUUCCAACAUUUGCUAUAUCAUAUUAUGAUUUAAUUAUGAUUAUGAUGAACCCCAUAGAUUAGGGCAAUGAUUUUAAGAUCAUGAUGAGAUCAUAUCAGUGAGAUCUAAAAUCUUGAUAGUCCUAGUCUAAAAUAUUUUCAAUUAUAGGAUCAUCGAGUCAGAGAUCGAUGAUGUCAGUAAGACUGGUACAUCCUAUGUAUGCUCGAU
rnacentral:lncRNA from 1 species